CAGCCGCCACGGGAAAACGUAGGGUGCAAGCGUUAAUCGGAAUUACUGGGCGUAAAGCGUGCGCAGGCGGUCCGUUAAGACAGAUGUGAAAUCCCCGGGCUUAACCUGGGAACUGCAUUUGUGACUGGCGGGCUAGAGUAUGGCAGAGGGGGGUAGAAUUCCACGUGUAGCAGUGAAAUGCGUAGAGAUGUGGAGGAAUACCGGUGGCGAAGGCAGCCCCCUGGGCCAAUACUGACGCUCAUGCACGAAAGCGUGGGGAGCAAACAGGAUUAGAUACCCGUGUAGUCCCUGUCUCUUAUAC
rnacentral:rRNA from 1 species